rnacentral:tRNA from 1 species
GAGGUAGUGGCGCAACCUGGUAGCGCAGUGGACUCCAAAUCCAAUGGAUGUCGGUUCAAAUCCGAUCUAUCUCA